rnacentral:rRNA from 1 species
AGAGUUUGAUCAUGGCUCAGGAUGAACGCUAGCGGCAGGCCUAAUACAUGCAAGUCGAACGGGUUUGAGUAGCAAUAUUCAAAUCAGUGGCGCACGGGUGCGUAACGCGUAUGCAACCUACCUUAAACUGGGGGAUAGCCUUCCGAAAGGGAGAUUAAUACCGCAUAAGAUCACACGAUGGCAUCAGAGAGUGAUUAAAGAUUUAUUGGUUUAAGAUGGGCAUGCGUGCCAUUAGCUAGUUGGUAGGGUAAAGGCCUACCAAGGCUACGAUGGCUAGGGGUUCUGAGAGGAUGAUCCCCCACACUGGUACUGAGAUACGGACCAGACUCCUACGGGAGGCAGCAGUAGGGAAUAUUGGGCAAUGGACGGAAGUCUGACCCAGCCAUGCCGCGUGCAGGAAGAAGGCCUUCUGGGUUGUAAACUGCUUUUAUCUAGGAAGAAAACGCCCAUGCGUGGGAAACUGACGGUACUAGAUGAAUAAGCACCGGCUAACUCCGUGCCAGCAGCCGCGGUAAUACGGAGGGUGCAAGCGUUGUCCGGAUUUAUUGGGUUUAAAGGGUGCGUAGGCGGCCCGUUAAGUCAGUGGUGAAAGCCUCCAGCUCAACUGGAGAACUGCCAUUGAUACUGACGGGCUUGAGUACAGACGAGGUUGGCGGAAUUGAUUGUGUAGCGGUGAAAUGCAUAGAUACAAUCAAGAACACCGAUUGCGUAGGCAGCUAACUAGGCUGUAACUGACGCUGAGGCACGAAAGCGUGGGGAGCGAACAGGAUUAGAUACCCUAGUAGUCC